rnacentral:rRNA from 1 species
UACGGAGGGUGCAAGCGUUAAUCGGAAUUACUGGGCGUAAAGCGCACGUAGGCGGCUUGGCAAGUCGGAUGUGAAAUCCCUCGGCUCAACCAAGGAAGUGCAUCCGAAACUGCCGAGCUUGAGUACUUAAGAGGAUCGCGGAAUUCCCGGUGUAGAGGUGAAAUUCGUAGAUAUCGGGAGGAACACCAGUGGCGAAGGCGGCGAUCUGGGAAGAUACUGACGCUGAGGUGCGAAAGCGUGGGGAGCAAACAGG